AAUAAUAAAUAGUUGUACUAUAAUUAUUUACAAUGAAAUGAAUAGUUUAUAAUGUUAUAUAUUAAAUAUAUUGUAUUUUUAGUUUAAAACACAUCAAAUAAUCGGUAAACUUCGAUUUGAUUCGUACUUAUGUUGUGUUGUCAUGAACUUAACCCAAAAACUUUCACUAAAUGAAUUCUUUGUAAUAAUGUCUAAUAACUUACCUCCACCACCAAAAGCCUCAGGGCCGCCAAUAUUACCUCCUGGAGCCGGUGGUCCUUUACCUCCAAAUGUAACACCUGGCUGGAAUGAUCCACCAAAUUUAUCAGCAAUUAGCAGUCCAGGACAAUCAGGACCGAAACGUCUUCUUAACAAAAGAGUACCCUUUCCAAUGAGUCCCAAUCCAAAUCCUCAAAACAAUCCUGAUCCAAUUGAUUCCAAUAUUAAUGAUUCAACUCUGACUGAAAUCACUAACAACUUUUUUCUUGCAAUUCACCACCUGCCAAAUAAUACUGCAUUAAAGAAAGAUAUGGAAAGGUUUACUACUAACUGGAAGGAUAUAUCAAACAAUCAAGAAGUAAAGGAUAUGUUACUGCAGGCUUCUCAUGCUGUGAAGAAUCAGGAUAUUGUGCAAUGUGAGAAUAUUCAUAAAAAUCUCUCACAAAUUCCAGCUGCUGGGUGGUUCACAUUAUUUUUACAUAGUAUUAUUAUGUCUUUACCUAAUAAAAUGUAAAUUUAUACUUGUAAA